rnacentral:misc_RNA from 1 species
GAUGAAGAACGUAGCAAAAUGCGAUAAGUAAUGUGAAUUGCAGAAUUCAGUGAAUCAUCGAAUCUUUGAACGCACAUUGCGCCCGCUGGUAUUCCGGCGGGCAUGCCUGUUCGAGCGUCAUUUCAACCCUCAAGCCCCCGGGUUUGGUGUUGGGGAUCGGCUCUGCCCUUCUGGGCGGUGCCGCCCCCGAAAUACAUUGGCGGUCUCGCUGUAGCCUCCAUUGCGUAGUAGCUAACACCUCGCAACUGGAACGCGGCGCGGCCAUGCCGUAAAACCCCAACUUCUGAAUGUUGACCUCGGAUCAGGUAGGAAUACCCGCUGAACUUAAGCAUAUCAAUAAGCGGAGGA